UGUACUAAGGUGGGGCAUUUAAGGA
rnacentral:piRNA from 1 species